AUUGAACGCUGGCGGAAUGCUUUACACAUGCAAGUCGAACGGCAGCACGGGGCAACCUGGUGGCGAGUGGCGAACGGGUGAGUAAUACAUCGGAACGUGCCCAAUCGUGGGGGAUAACGUAGCGAAAGUUACGCUAAUACCGCAUACGAUCUACGGAUGAAAGCGGGGGAUCGCAAGACCUCGCGCGAAUGGAGCGGCCGAUGUCAGAUUAGGUAGUUGGUGGGGUAAAGGCUCACCAAGCCAACGAUCUGUAGCUGGUCUGAGAGGACGACCAGCCACACUGGAACUGAGACACGGUCCAGACUCCUACGGGAGGCAGCAAUGGGGAAUUUUGGACAAUGGGCGCAAGCCUGAUCCAGCCAUUCCGCGUGCAGGAUGAAGGCCUUCGGUUGUAAACUGCUUUGUUACGGAACGAAACGGACGAGCUCUAAUACAGUUUGCUAAUGACGGUACCGUAAGAAUAAGCACCGGCUAACUACGUGCCAGCAG
rnacentral:rRNA from 1 species